UUAAAUUGAAGAGUUUGAUCAUGGCCAGAUUGAACGCUGGCGGCAGGCCUAACACAUGCAAGUCGAACGGUAACAGGAAGCAGCUUGCUGCUUUGCUGACGAGUGGCGGACGGGUGAGUAAUGUCUGGGAAACUGCCUGAUGGAGGGGGAU
rnacentral:rRNA from 1 species